UAACUCAAAAAUAGAUUAGCUAGCAGGGAUUGUUCCUUCUUCUUGUUGUUCAGAUUAGAACAUGAAAACAAGUGGGAUGAAGACAAAAGUACCCAUAAUCAAACCAAAAACUGAAAAACACACAAUAAUGUUUCCUUGGUACCCAGAUAUGGGUCCUCCGUCCUCAUAAUUAUGUCUUUGAUCAUUCACAAGCUAGCUGCUUCUUUUGUAUAACUAUUGCUAGUCUGAUAUCUCCUUAGUCUGCUGCUGCUACUACUAAAAGAGAAAAAGAAGGAAGAAAGUUAACUUUUUGAUUGAUUGCCUUUGAUUACUUCUUUUCUCUCAUGUAGUAUAGUAGUACCACAAGGCCAUCAGGCGCAAGUAGUACCACAUCUCUCUUCGAUCUUCACCACUCCCUGCUGCAAUUGUCUCAGGAAUCUUUCUACUUCUUCACAGUCCAACUCUGAUUCUGGUGCUCCUCAAAGCAGACCCACAAGCCCCAGAUUGGAGACCUGCUACUAUGCUUAAGCAAAUUUUAGCUAAACUCCCUAGGAAGUCAUUAAAAUCUGAUUCAUUAACCUCUGUUGGAAGUGAUUCUUGCAACACUAGUCCAAAUUCAGACAACGGCAUCCAAUUUACCAACACUUGCAGUGUGAUAUCGAGUAGACUGAAUGUAGUAAAGAGGAAGUCUUGGGCAAUUUUUCCUGCUAGCAUCAUAGCUGGAGGGGACUUGGUCGAGCCUCAUGUUCCUUUUAAAGAUGUUCCAAACGCUGAUAAACAGAGCUUAUUCGUGAGUAAGUUAAAUCUCUGCUGUUUGGUAUAUGACUUCAGCGAUCCAGGCAAGAACACCAAGGAGAAAGACCUUAAACACCAGAUAUUAUUAGAACUUGGUGAUUUUGUUGCUUCAGGUUCUGCAAAAUUCACUGAAUCAGCAAUUGCUGCAAUUUGCAAAAUGUGCGCGGUUAACUUGUUCAGAGACUUUCCACCCCGAUAUCACUCUCAUGUUCCUCGUGGUGAAAGUGAAGAAGAAGAACCAUUAUUUGAUCCAGCUUGGUCCCAUUUGCAGCUUGUCUAUGACCUGCUUCUCCGAGUCCUGAAUCAAAAUAGUCUCGAUGCAAAGCUAGCUAAGAAGUACAUUGACCACUCUUUCAUUAUAAGGAUACUUGAUUUAUUUGACUCUGAGGAUCCAAGAGAAAGAGAUUGUUUGAAAUCAAUUCUGCAUCGUCUUUAUGGAAAGUUCAUGAUGCACAGGCCUUUUAUCAGAAAGGCUGUAAGCAAUAUAUUCUACCGAUUUGUUUUCGAGACUGAACGACAUAAUGGAAUUGCUGAGCUACUGGAGGUAUUUGGGAGUGUAAUAAGUGGGUUUGCUUUACCAUUGAAGGAGGAGCACAAAGUGUUCCUCUCCAGGGCUUUAAUUCCUUUACAUAAACCAAAAUCACUGGGUGUCUAUCAUCAGCAGUUGGCAUACUGUGUUGUACAGUUUGUUGAAAAGGAGCAAAAGUUGGCUGUAAUGGUGAUACAGGGGCUUCUGAAAUACUGGCCUGUAACAAGUAGUCAGAAGGAAUUGAUGUUUUUAAGUGAGUUAGAAGAGCUAUUGGAAAUGAUUAGCAUGGUAGACUUUGAGAAGAUCAUGGUGCCGUUGUUUCGGCGUAUGUCAUGCUGCCUCAACAGCUCCCACUUUCAGGUAGCUGAGAGAGCACACUUUUUGUGGAACAAUGAUCAUGUGCUUAAUCUCAUUGCACAUAACAGACAUGUUAUCAUGCCUAUGACCUUUUCAGCUUUGGAAUGGAACAGCCGGAACCACUGGAAUAAAACAGUUCUAAACCUUACACAGAAUUUAAGGAAUUACCCAUCUGUUGCAUGGACAAGAAAAUCUGUGGUCUAACUGCAGCUCUGCCAAAUAGUGGUCCAAUAGCCGCAGGGAUCUCCAAUCGAUUCGAGGCUGCACCACACAAUCCAUCUGCUGAAUCGACUCAAACUCAACUGUCAUCUCAGUGCAAUGUGUGA